GCGGGGGUGCCCGAGCCAGGUCAAAGGGGCAGGGUUCAGGUCCCUGUGGCGUAAAUCCCAGCCCUGGCG
rnacentral:tRNA from 1 species